UACGUAGGGUGCGAGCGUUGUCCGGAAUUAUUGGGCGUAAAGAGCUCGUAGGCGGUUUGUCGCGUCUGCUGUGAAAACCCGAGGCUCAACCUCGGGCCUGCAGUGGGUACGGGCAGACUAGAGUGCGGUAGGGGAGAUUGGAAUUCCUGGUGUAGCGGUGGAAUGCGCAGAUAUCAGGAGGAACACCAAUGGCGAAGGCAGAUCUCUGGGCCGUAACUGACGCUGAGGAGCGAAAGCGUGGGGAGCAAACAGG
rnacentral:rRNA from 1 species